UAGCAAUAGAAACUUAACUAACACACAUUAUAUACUCCCCCCUGCAGGCCACAAAGAUCCACAGCCAAUACUGUUGCUAAGAGUGAAGAAUACUUUCUUAUUAAGAAUGGGACCUGGUAGAAAGGUCUCUGGGCCAAUCACGGCUGGACAAGAAAGAUCCUGUUGUACUAAAAGCCCCUGCAACAAGACUAUGGAUGAAUAACCUGAUUUAAGUUGUGCCAUCAUUACAGUAAUUUUCACUGUCAACUUGGAUGAGUUUGGCAUCACCUUGGAGAUGCACCUGCUGGCAUGCCUCUGAGUUUUCCAAAGAGAUUUAACUGAGGGGAGCCUCACCGUGACUGUGGAUGGUGCCAUCCUGUGGGCUGAGGUCCAGGGCUGAAUAAAGAGGAAAUAGAAAGUGAGCUGAGUGCCCAUUCAUCUUUCUCUGCUUCUGGACUAUGCAAGCAACAUGAUCUACUGCCUCACAUGAGAGCUGCUCUGGCCACCGUGCCUUUCCCAUUGUGAUGGAUUGCAUCCUCAAAUCAUGAACAAAACACACCCUUUUCCCCAUGAAUUGCUUCUUGUUAUGCAUCUUGUCAUAUCAAUGAGAAAUUGCUAAAGAAUGAAUGAAACCAUCCUAAAAAGUAAAAAUGUUGAUUACAGGUUAAGACAAUAAUGUUGGGAUCUACCAAACCAGAUAAAAUACACUUCUAGGGUUAGUUUCACUUUCACCUAUUUUUAUUUUUUAAAAUGUGACCAUGAGAAAGCCUAGAAUUCCAUGUGUGGCCCACAUUAUCACCGCUAUCGAUCAGUAUGUCUUCAGAGUUGGGUAUGAGUUGGAAUAGGGCAGUUUUCUCACCCUGUGUCUUUCCUUACAGCAUCUGCUGCUUACUAGAUGCCCACAAAUGCUUAGCACAUAGGUGAGUGGAUAAAAUUCAUUCCAACACAGCAGGAGCAGCUUCACCUAGAGAGCCAUAUGUCUUGUUGCUGUAUUUCUUAUCUUUAUCUUUUUUUUCAGGGGCAGGGAUCAACCCAGGGCCUUGUUCUUGCUAGGCAAGGUUCUAUCACCGAGCUACACGCCCAGACCAAUCUGUCUUUAGAGUAAAAAAUCUCAGGAACAAUACCAAUAAAGUAGCGAGGCCAACAAGGUUCCAAUGUAUUUUCAUCUCUUGGAAGUUAAAACAUUUAAGCUUAGUAGAUCUGGUAAUCGUACCUAAACCAUAGCACAGACCAUAUCCUGUGAUUAGGCUAGGGAUGUCCUGGCCACAGAAGGGUAGCUUUUUCCUUAGUUGGUAAGCAGCAAACUUUUGGGUGCUUUUGAGAGAUGAAGACUAACAAUGUCUCCAUGUACAAAUAUACUAUGCUGCUACCUGCUAACAAUGUUUAUUCCCUGUGAUACAAUCUUUCCUCUUGGUGACUCAGCCCUCCUUUCCCCAGCAAGGUUGCCUUUGCCAUUUGUACUUUGGUUUUCAGUGAGAAACAGACCCUUUUCCCUCACCUCUGACAGGAUCAUUUUACACAGUCCAGGCUGACUAACUCAUGAUUGGCAUUUCACUCUCCCUGGCACUGAUACUAACUGCUGUGCUACCUACCCUGCUCAACUAUUAAUUAAUAAUUAUUUUUGUUGGAAGUCAGCCGUGUUAUUAAGAAAGCUGCAUUUCAGAUCCCCCUUCUCCACCUCUUCAGCCCCAAGCACCCCAUCCUUCCCUGUUGUUUAUUGAGUCUCUCUGUCCACAGGAAGUGUACACUCAGACACACACAGACAUAGUCCAGCAGUGACUUCACAUCUUUAGAGCUGAAGUCUUUCUAGUGUUCACCCUGCCUGUCUGACUGGUAACUCUGUGAGGGCUGAGUCAUCGGAAGGAUCGUGGGGACUUCCCUGGCACUCCCAGUCUGGCCACUCUGCCCUUCUGUGUUUUUCACAGAUCAAAACCCAGCCAAAUCCAGGACUUAUUUUCAUUCAUCCUGUCUUUCUGCUAUCUUUAGUGCAGUGACCUACUUAAGCUAAAGGGAACCACAAACCCCCAUGGAAAUGUUCUGGCACUUCUUUCCUGUGUAGAAAUUGGUUAGGUACGUGUUAGAAAGAAGCCUGUGAACUCUAAGAAUUGUUUUGGCUGGAGAGGGAAGUGUAAAAGUGGGGACAGAAUUGUUAAGAGGGAACUGUUAGACGGUAGGGUGUUCUUGGGGGAGGUGACGACGCGGGGAAGGCUGGGUCAGAAACGGCUACUCAAGAGCAGCUCCACGUGGAGUUUCCAUCCUUUUAGUUCCUGCUAUCAGCAUUCCACCUAACAUCUCUAUGCCCACAGCAGAUCUGAAGAAGAUCGAGACCCAGGCAGGCGAUGUCACAGCUGAAGCGUUAUCAGAAACCCCCGCUGUCACCAGCACCGCAGUCAAUUAUUGAUAAACGCAUAAAUGGCAGCAGAGUUUGCAAAAACCACUUAAUGCCGAAAGAUGACAGGUGGAAACAGCUUUCAACCAAGUAGACCGAGACUGCGCUUGUGUUUCUCGGCUGCCCAGACCCAAACAAUCACACAGAAACUAUACUAAUUACAACACUGUUUGUCCAUGACUCAGGUGUAUCCCUAGCUAGCUCUUA